rnacentral:rRNA from 1 species
GAUGAACGCUGGCGGCGUGCCUAAUACAUGCAAGUCGAGCGAACGGACGAGAAGCUUGCUUCUCUGAUGUUAGCGGCGGACGGGUGAGUAACACGUGGAUAACCUACCUAUAAGACUGGGAUAACUUCGGGAAACCGGAGCUAAUACCGGAUAAUAUUUUGAACCGCAUGGUUCAAAAGUGAAAGACGGUCUUGCUGUCACUUAUAGGUGGAUCCGCGCUGCAUUAGCUAGUUGGUAAGGUAACGGCUUACCAAGGCAACGAUGCAUAGCCGACCUGAGAGGGUGAUCGGCCACACUGGAACUGAGACACGGUCCAGACUCCUACGGGAGGCAGCAGUAGGGAAUCUUCCGCAAUGGGCGAAAGCCUGACGGAGCAACGCCGCGUGAGUGAUGAAGGUCUUCGGAUCGUAAAACUCUGUUAUUAGGGAAGAACAUAUGUGUAAGUAACUGUGCACAUCUUGACGGUACCUAAUCAGAAAGCCACGGCUAACUACGUGCCAGCAGCCGCGGUAAUACGCAGGUGGCAAGCGUUAUCCGGAAUUAUUGGGCGUAAAGCGCGCGUAGGCGGUUUUUUAAGUCUGAUGUGAAAGCCCACGGCUCAACCGUGGAGGGUCAUUGGAAACUGGAAAACUUGAGUGCAGAAGAGGAAAGUGGAAUUCCAUGUGUAGCGGUGAAAUGCGCAGAGAUAUGGAGGAACACCAGUGGCGAAGGCGACUUUCUGGUCUGUAACUGACGCUGAUGUGCGAAAGCGUGGGGAUCAAACAGGAUUAGAUACCCUGGUAGUCCACGCCGUAAACGAUGAGUGCUAAGUGUUAGGGGGUUUCCGCCCCUUAGUGCUGCAGCUAACGCAUUAAGCACUCCGCCUGGGGAGUACGACCGCAAGGUUGAAACUCAAAGGAAUUGACGGGGACCCGCACAAGCGGUGGAGCAUGUGGUUUAAUUCGAAGCAACGCGAAGAACCUUACCAAAUCUUGACAUCCUUUGACAACUCUAGAGAUAGAGCCUUCCCCUUCGGGGGACAAAGUGACAGGUGGUGCAUGGUUGUCGUCAGCUCGUGUCGUGAGAUGUUGGGUUAAGUCCCGCAACGAGCGCAACCCUUAAGCUUAGUUGCCAUCAUUAAGUUGGGCACUCUAAGUUGACUGCCGGUGACAAACCGGAGGAAGGUGGGGAUGACGUCAAAUCAUCAUGCCCCUUAUGAUUUGGGCUACACACGUGCUACAAUGGACAAUACAAAGGGCAGCGAAACCGCGAGGUCAAGCAAAUCCCAUAAAGUUGUUCUCAGUUCGGAUUGUAGUCUGCAACUCGACUACAUGAAGCUGGAAUCGCUAGUAAUCGUAGAUCAGCAUGCUACGGUGAAUACGUUCCCGGGUCU